rnacentral:rRNA from 1 species
GACGAACGCUGGCGGCGUGCCUAAUACAUGCAAGUCGAAGGACCGGCGCACGGGGGAGUAACACGUAUCCACCCUGCCCUUUACUCGGGGAUAGCCUUUGGAAAGAAAGAUUAAUACCCGAUAUAAAGGAUGGGGAUGCGUUCCAUUAGGUUGUUGGUGAGGUAACGGCUCACCAAGCCUUCGAUGGAUAGGGGUUCUGAGAGGAAGGUCCCCCAGAGUGGAACUGAGACACAGCCCAAGCUCCUACGAGAGGCAGCAGUGAGGAAUAUUGGUCAAUGGGCGCUAGCCUGAAACAGCCAAGUAGCGUGAAGGAUGAAGGCUUAUGGGUCGUAAACUUCUUUUAUAUAAGAAUAUGUAUUAUAUGAAUAAGGAUCGGCUAACUCCGUGCCAGCAGCCGCGGUAAUUC